rnacentral:lncRNA from 7 species
GUGGAUGGCAAGAAAUACAGGGAAAGCAAUGCAUAGCACAGCAAAGCAAAGCAAGGCAAAAUAGCAGCCAAAGCCACGAGAAUCAAGAAGUCAGUGAAGAGCAGGAAAGGAAUGGAGGAAUCUGGCCAGAGCUGUGCCCCUGCUUGCCACAGGAGCUGCGCGGGAGGAGAAGAAUGUGGGCCAAAAGGUAAGAGGAGCUCCUUUGGGUUCUGGGCUUGAAGCAAAGCUGAGAAGCCAUGCCCGGGAGGAGGUGUGGGUAGCUACAGGCCACCUUGCUAUCUCCCCAAGAGAUGAGGUGUGUGGGCUAGGCACCGGGCAGGAGUGCUGGCCAGAAGCAAGCAUCUCUGUGGAGGAAGGCAAAGGGCGGAGGAGGUUCAAGGGUAGCUACCGGGCAUGGCCUUGCUCAGCAAGGGGAGGAAAAGCCUGAAGGGCACGAGAAGGGGACAGAGAAGGGCAGGCAGUAGGCGUGAAGCUGUGAGCAGAGUAGAGAGCAACUUGGCAGAGCAGCAAGCAGAGUAGGCAAGUGCUGAGGUUUGGCGUGAGUAGCAGCAAAAGCCCAUAGCAUCAAGAAGCAGGAAGUGAGGAGAAGGUAAGUGAAGGGCAGGCAAGGUAAUGGGAGGCAAGGCAAGGGGAAAGGGGAGGGUAAGGGAGAAAGAGGGGAUGGGGAGGGGAGGGGAUGGGUGAAGAGCAGAGCGGAGGGAAGGGCUGAGGGGAGGGCUGAAGGCAAACCAAUGAUGAAAAAAGAAAAGAAAAAAAAACACAAAAAAUAUGAAAUAAGAGAAAAAAGAAAAGAAAAAUAAGAAAAAGAGAAAAAAGAAAAGAAAAAAAAUGAACAAAAAAGACAAAAAAAGAAAAAAGAAAAAAAUGAACAAAAAAGAGAAAAAAGAGAAAAGAAAAAAAUGAACAAA